UUUGAUCCUGGCUCAGAUUGAACGCUGGCGGCAGGCCUAACACAUGCAAGUCGAACGGUAGCAGGAAGUGCUUGCACUUCGCUGACGAGUGGCGGACGGGUGAGUAAUGCUUGGGAACUUGCCUUUGCGAGGGGGAUAACAGUUGGAAACGACUGCUAAUACCGCAUAACGUCUUCGGACCAAACGGGGCUUUUAGCUCCGGCGCAGAGAGAGGCCCAAGUGAGAUUAGCUAGUUGGUGAGGUAAAGGCUCACCAAGGCGACGAUCUCUAGCUGUUCUGAGAGGAAGAUCAGCCACACUGGGACUGAGACACGGCCCAGACUCCUACGGGAGGCAGCAGUGGGGAAUAUUGCACAAUGGGGGAAACCCUGAUGCAGCCAUGCCGCGUGUGUGAAGAAGGCCUUCGGGUUGUAAAGCACUUUCAGUUGUGAGGAAAAGUGAGUAGUUAAUAC
rnacentral:rRNA from 1 species